rnacentral:rRNA from 1 species
GGGGGGGCAAGCGUUUGUUCGGAAUUACUGGGCGUAAAGGGCGCGCAGGCGGCCUGGCCAGUCCUACGUGAAAUCCCACAGCUCAACUGUGGAACUGCGUGGGAUACUGCCAAGCUUGAGUCCGGGAGAGGAGAGUGGAAUUCCCAGUGUAGCGGUGAAAUGCGUAGAUAUUGGGAGGAACACCGGUGGCGAAGGCGGCUCUCUGGACCGGCACUGACGCUGAGGCGCGAAAGCUAGGGGAGCAAACGGGGGAUUAGAUACCCCGGUAGUCCUAGCCCUAAACGAUGAGCACUUGGUGUGGCGGGUAUCGACCCCCUGCCGUGCCGAAGCUAACGCAUUAAGUGCUCCGCCUGGGGAGUACGGUCGCAAGGCUG